AGUGAACGCUGGCGGUAGGCCUAACACAUGCAAGUCGAACGGCAGCACAGUAAGAGCUUGCUCUUACGGGUGGCGAGUGGCGGACGGGUGAGGAAUACAUCGGAAUCUACUUUUUCGUGGGGGAUAACGUAGGGAAACUUACGCUAAUACCGCAAACGACCUACGGGUAAAAGCAGGGGAUCUUCGGACCUUGCGCGAUUGAAUGAGCCGAUGUCGGAUUAGCUAGUUGGCGGGGUAAAGGCCCACCAAGGCGACUAUCCGUAGCUGGUCUGAGAGGAUGAUGAGCCACACUGGAACUGAGACACGGUCCAGACUCCUACGGGAGGCAGCAGUGGGGAAUAUUGGACAAUGGGCGAAAGCCUGAUCCAGCCAUACCGCGUGGGUGAAGAAGGCCUUCGGGUUGUAAAGCCCUUUUGUUGGGAAAGAAAAGCAGCAGGUUAAUACCCCGCUGUUCUGACGGUACCCAAAGAAUAAGCACCGGCUAACUUCGUG
rnacentral:rRNA from 1 species